rfam:Mustela putorius furo unplaced genomic scaffold scaffold00140, whole genome shotgun sequence.
AAAUUGGUUUUUUUGAAAACCCCUUACAUUUCUAGUAAAUGUACAU